AGAGUUUGAUCCUGGCUCAGAUUGAACGCUGGCGGCAUGCCUUACACAUGCAAGUCGAACGGCAGCGCGGGCUUCGGCCUGGCGGCGAGUGGCGAACGGGUGAGUAAUACAUCGGAACGUGCCCUGUCGUGGGGGAUAACUAGUCGAAAGAUUAGCUAAUACCGCAUACGACCUGAGGGUGAAAGCGGGGGACCGCAAGGCCUCGCGCGAUAGGAGCGGCCGAUGUCUGAUUAGCUAGUUGGUGGGGUAAAGGCCUACCAAGGCGACGAUCAGUAGCUGGUCUGAGAGGACGAUCAGCCACACUGGGACUGAGACACGGCCCAGACUCCUACGGGAGGCAGCAGUGGGGAAUGUUGGACAAUGGGGGCAACCCUGAUCCAGCAAUGCCGCGUGUGUGAAGAAGGCCUUCGGGUUGUANAGCACUUUUGUCCGGAAAGAAAUGGCCCUGGCUAAUACCCGGGGUCGAUGACGGUACCGGAAGAAUAAGCACGGCUAACUACGUGCCAGCAGCCGCGGUAAUACGUAGGGUG
rnacentral:rRNA from 1 species